UACGUAGGGGGCAAGCGUUGUCCGGAAUCAUUGGGCGUAAAGCGCGUGUAGGCGGCUCGAUAAGUCUGCUGUGAAAGUCCAGGGCUCAACCCUGGGAUGCCGGUGGAUACUGUCGAGCUCGAGUCCGGAAGAGGCGAGUGGAAUUCCUGGUGUAGCGGUGAAAUGCGCAGAUAUCAGGAGGAACACCGGUGGCGAAGGCGGGUCUCUGGGCCGAUACUGACGCUGAGAAGCGAAAGCGUGGGGAGCGAACAGG
rnacentral:rRNA from 1 species